CGAGUAUGAGAGUGGAAMGUUCACACUGUGACGGUCUCUUACCAAAAAGGGACGGCUAACUACGUGCCAGCAGCCGCGGUAAUACGUAGGUCCCGAGCGUUGUCCGGCUUUCUUGGGCGUAACGCGAGCGCAGGCGGUUAGAUAAGUCUGAAGUUAAAGGCUGUGGCUUAACCAUAGUACGCUUUGGAAACUGUUUMACUUGAGUGCAAGAGGGGAGAGUGGAAUUCCAUGUGUAGCGGUGAAAUGCGUAGAUAUAUGGAGGAACACCGGUGGCGAAAGCGGCUCUCUGGCUUGUMACUGACGCUGAGGCUCGAAAGCGUGGGGMGCAAACAGGMUUAGAUACCCUGGUAGUCCACGCCGUAAACGAUGAGUGCUAGGUSUUAGACCCUBUCCGGGGUUUAGUGCCGUAGUAACGCVUUAAGCACUCCGCCUGGGGAGUACGACCGCAAGGUUGAAACUCAAAGGAAUUGACGGGGGCCCGCACAAGCGGUGGAGCAUGUGG
rnacentral:rRNA from 1 species